rnacentral:rRNA from 1 species
CCUGGUUGAUCCUGCCAGUAGUCAUAUGCUUGUCUCAAAGAUUAAGCCAUGCAUGUCUCAGUGCAAGCCGUCUAGUACGGUGAAACCGCGAAAGGCUCAUUAAAUCAGUUAUGGUUCCUUAGAUCGUACCCACGUUACUUGGAUAACUGUGGUAAUUCUAGAGCUAAUACAUGCCGACAGAGUUCCGACCAACUGUACGGAUUUGGCGGCAGUUUCGGCUGUCGUCGCCGUACGGUUCGGAAGGAACGCUUUUAUUAGAUCAAAACCGGCUAAACGGCGGUUUCGCUUUCGGGCGUCUCCGUCGUAAGCGGCCCGCGCAAAGAUUUGGUGACUCUGAAUAACUUCGAGCUGAUCGCACGGUCUUUGUACCGGCGACGUAUCUUUCAAAUGUCUGCCUUAUCAACUGUCGACGGUAGGUUCGACGCCUACCGUGGUGGUAACGGGUAACGGGGAAUCAGGGUUCGAUUCCGGAGAGGGAGCCUGAGAAACGGCUACCACAUCCAAGGAAGGCAGCAGGCGCGCAAAUUACCCACUCCCGGCUCGGGGAGGUAGUGACGAAAGAUAACGAUACGGGACUCAUCCGAGGCCCCGUAAUCGGAAUGACUACACUUUAAAUCCUUUAAGGAGUAUCAAUUGGAGGGCAAGUCUGGUGCCAGCAGCCGCGGUAAUUCCAGCUCCAAUAGCGUAUAUUAAAGUUGUUGCGGUUAAAAAGCUCGUAGUUGAAUCUGUGUGCCACGCUGUCGGUUCAUCGCUCGCGAUGUUUAACUGACAUGAUUGUGGGACGUCCUACCGGUGGGCUUAACUCCUUUCGGGGGGUGGCCCAGCUAAUAUCCCAUCGCGGUGCUCUUCAUCGAGUGUCGAGGUGGGCCGGUACGUUUACUUUGAACAAAUUAGAGUGCUCAAAGCAGGCUAUUUUCGCCUGAAUACUGCGUGCAUGGAAUAAUGGAAUAGGACCUCGGUUCUAUUUUGUUGGUUUUCGGAACCCCGAGGUAAUGAUUAAUAGGGACAGAUGGGGGCAUUCGUAUUGCGACGUUAGAGGUGAAAUUCUUGGAUCGUCGCAAGACGGACAGAAGCGAAAGCAUUUGCCAAAAAUGUUUUCAUUAAUCAAGAACGAAAGUUAGAGGUUCGAAGGCGAUCAGAUACCGCCCUAGUUCUAACCAUAAACGAUGCCAACCAGCGAUCAUUCUGAGUAACUAAUUUCAUGACUCGAAUGGAAGCUUCCGGGAAACCAAAGUUUUUGGGUUCCGGGGGAAGUAUGGUUGCAAAGCUGAAACUUAAAGGAAUUGACGGAAGGGCACCACCAGGAGUGGAGCUUGCGGCUUAAUUUGACCCAACACGGGAAAACUCACCCGGCCCGGACACUGAGAGGAUUGACAGAUUGAG